CCUACGGGGGGCUGCAGUGGGGAAUAUUGGACAAUGGGGGCAACCCUGAUCCAGCCAUGCCGCGUGUGUGAAGAAGGCCCUCGGGUUGUAAAGCACUUUCAGUGAGGAAGAACGCCUGGUGGUUAAAACCCAUCAGGAAAGACAUCACUCACAGAAGAAGCACCGGCUAACUCCGUGCCAGCAGCCGCGGUAAUACGGAGGGUGCGAGCGUUAAUCGGAAUUACUGGGCGUAAAGCGCGCGUAGGUGGCUUGAUAAGCCGGUUGUGAAAGCCCCGGGCUCAACCUGGGAACGGCAUCCGGAACUGUCAAGCUAGAGUGCAGGAGAGGAAGGUAGAAUUCCCGGUGUAGCGGUGAAAUGCGUAGAGAUCGGGAGGAAUACCAGUGGCGAAGGCGGCCUUCUGGACUGACACUGACACUGAGGUGCGAAAGCGUGGGUAGCAAACAGGAUUAGAUACCCCGGUAGUC
rnacentral:rRNA from 1 species